CACAAGCAAUGAUGAGGAUGACUUUAUGUCACAGUCCUGAAAAUACCAUGUGGGUCAUUAAGUCACUAUCUCUUCUGAGCUUGGU